rnacentral:rRNA from 1 species
UUAGUGGCGGACGGGUGAGUAACGCGUGAGCAACCUGCCUGUGAUAGAGGGAUAACACCGGGAAACGGGUGCUAAUACCGCAUGAGGCAGCACCACCGCAUGGUGGAGCUGUUAAAGGGAAACCGAUCACAGAUGGGCUCGCGUAUGAUUAGGUAGUUGGUGAGGUAACGGCUCACCAAGCCUGCGAUCAUUAGCCGAACUGAGAGGUUGAACGGCCACAUUGGAACUGAGAAACGGUCCAGACUCC